AUUGAACGCUGGCGGCAGGCCUAACACAUGCAAGUCGAACGGUAACAGGAAGCAGCUUGCUGCUUCGCUGACGAGUGGCGGACGGGUGAGUAAUGUCUGGGAAGCUGCCUGAUGGAGGGGGAUAACUACUGGAAACGGUAGCUAAUACCGCAUAAUGUCGCAAGACCAAAGAGGGGGACCUUCGGGCCUCUUGCCAUCGGAUGUGCCCAGAUGGGAUUAGCUUGUUGGUGGGGUAACGGCUCACCAAGGCGACGAUCCCUAGCUGGUCUGAGAGGAUGACCAGCCACACUGGAACUGAGACACGGUCCAGACUCCUACGGGAGGCAGCAGUGGGGAAUAUUGCACAAUGGGCGCAAGCCUGAUGCAGCCAUGCCGCGUGUAUGAAGAAGGCCUUCGGGUUGUAAAGUACUUUCAGCGGGGAGGAAGGGAGUAAAGUUAAUAACUUUGCUCAUUGACGUUACCCGCAGAAGAAGCACCGGCUAACUCCGUG
rnacentral:rRNA from 1 species